GGACACGCUGGCCGGCGUGCUUCAUACAUGCAAGUCGAACGAGAAGCUGACUUCGGUCAGUGGAAAGUGGCGGACGGGUGAGUAAUAUGUAGAGAAUCUGCCCUUGAGUGGGGGACAACAGAGGGAAACUUCUGCUAAUACCCCCAUAUGAGCUAACUUGAAAUAGUUAUCUUGAAAACUCCGGUGCUCAAGGAUGAGUCUGCAUCUGAUUAGCUAGUUGCGGUGUAAUGGACCACCAAGGCGACGAUCAGUAGCUGGUUUGAGAGGAUGAUCAGCCACAAUGGGACUGAGACACGGCCCAUACUCCUACGGGAGGCAGCAGUAGGGAAUUUUGCGCAAUGGGCGAAAGCCCUGACGCAGCAACGCCGCGUGAACGAUUAAGCCCUUCGGGGUGUAAAGUUCUGUCAGUAGGGACGAAUUUUGACGGUACCUACAGAGGAAGCACCGGCUAACUCCGUGCCAGCCGCCGC
rnacentral:rRNA from 1 species